GGGCAGGAACCUGAUGACUCUGAGCUCUCUGGCUCUAGAGAUAUUGAUGAGUCAAGGGACCCCAAGAUCAUCCCUGAAGUGAUCCAACCCUUGGUGCUUCUAGAUAACCACAUCCCUGAGAGGGCAGGGCCUGGGAACCUGGUCCCACUGAAACCAAGGAACUGGAGGACAACGAGGUCAUCCCCAGGAGGAUCUCACUCUCUGCGGGGGACCAGGAUGUGUCCAAUAAGGCACCCAUGUCCAACACUGCCCAGGGCAGCAACAUCUUUGAGAGAAUGGAGGUCGUGGCAGUCCUGAUUGUGGACAGCAUCGCGGGCAUCCUCUCUGCUGUUUUCCUGAUCCUGCUUCUGGUGAACCAUAUGAAGAAGGAUGAAGGCAGAAACGACCUGAGCAGGAAGCCCAUCUACAAAAAAGCCCCUAGCAAGGAGUUAUUACGCUUCUUCUAUGAGCACUGGUUUGGACUUUAG